UUCAAUUUGAGGCGAGUGAAGUGGGAAGAGAAACAACAAAAAACAACGCUAAGCAAGCAUUUCUAUAUAAUGAAUAAUACAAUUUAAAAAAAAAAUCCCCAACACAGACACACACACAAAACACUCUCUAAAGCCGCAUGUGUAUAAAAAAAAAGUUAAUGAACGCGAAAUGUUUGAUGGAGAGAGAACUGCUUUUAGGGGGCAAAACGAACAUCUGAUUCAAAGCAUAUGAUAACCGAAAAGGCAGAAGAAGUCACCUAAAACUCGUGUGAUAUUUACUCUAAUCAGCUGGAUUUCUUCAUUAAAAGAGCACAGCUAUACGCUCUACGGAAAAAUAUUGCAGCUGGAGCGAGUGCUACAAUACAAAUAAUUCUCGGAGGAGUUUUACUCAAUGAAUUUCACUUUUCACGCUCAGUUUACAAGUGUCUGAUAUUUCCUUUUUAUAUGUAAUACAUGGCAUCAAUUUUCUCAGACAGUA